rnacentral:rRNA from 1 species
UAGGGAAUCUUCGGCAAUGGGGGGAACCCUGACCGAGCAACGCCGCGUGAGUGAAGAAGGUUUUCGGAUCGUAAAGCUCUGUUGUUAAGGAAGAACGAGUGUGAGAAUGGAAAGUUCAUACUGUGACGGUACUUAACCAGAAAGGGACGGCUAACUACGUGCCAGCAGCCGCGGUAAUACGUAGGUCCCGAGCGUUGUCCGGAUUUAUUGGGCGUAAAGCGAGCGCAGGCGGUUAGAUAAGUCUGAAGUUAAAGGCAGUGGCUCAACCAUUGUAGGCUUUGGAAACUGUUUAACUUGAGUGCAGAAGGGGGGAGUGGAAUUCCAUGUGUAGCGGUGAAAUGCGUAGAUAUAUGGAGAAACACCGGUGGCGAAAGCGGCUCUCUGGUCUGUAACUAACGCUGAGGCUCGAAAGCGUGGGGAGCGAACAGG